UACGGGGGGGGCAAGCGUUGUUCGGAAUUACUGGGCGUAAAGGGUUCGUAGGUGGCCAACUAAGUCAUACGUGAAAUCCCUCAGCUUAACUGGGGAACUGCGUCUGAUACUGGCUGGCUUGAGUGCAGGAGAGGAACGCGGAAUUCCAGGUGUAGCGGUGAAAUGCGUAGAUAUCUGGGGGAACACCGGUGGCGAAGGCGGCGUUCUGGACUGCAACUGACACUGAGGAACGAAAGCCAGGGGAGCAAACGGG
rnacentral:rRNA from 1 species